rnacentral:rRNA from 1 species
CCUACGGGAGGCAGCAGUGAGGAAUAUUGGUCAAUGGGCGGGAGCCUGAACCAGCCAAGUCGCGUGAGGGACGACGGUCCUAUGGAUUGUAAACCUCUUUUGUCGGGGAACAAAGGCGCCCACGGGUGGGCGGAUGAGAGUACCCGAAGAAAAAGCAUCGGCUAACUCCGUGCCAGCAGCCGCGGUAAUACGGAGGGUGCGAGCGUUAAUCGGAAUUACUGGGCGUAAAGCGCUCGUAGGCGGUAUGUCAAGUCAAGGGUGAAAUCCCCGCGCUCAACGUGGGAACUGCCUUUGAAACUGGCAAACUGGAGUGUGUGAGAGGAUAGUGGAAUUCCAGGUGUAGGAGUGAAAUCCGUAGAUAUUAGGAGGAACACCAGUGGCGAAGGCGGCUUACUGGACUGUAACUGACGUUGAGGCUCGAAAGCGUGGGGAGCAAACAGGAUUAGAUACCCCGGUAGUC